UACAAGUACCCGUGAGGGAAAGUUGAAAAGAACUUUGAAGAGAGAGUUAAGAGGGCGUGAAACCGGGUAGGAGUAACUUGGUGGACGAGAAAAGUCGUCGGUAGGAUUCAGCUCGUGAUGCGAUGCGCGGUGUGCUGUUGAUCGUGAGUCAACGGAUGCUGCAUGAGCGUAAGCAUUGUGUCAUGGGUGCACUUCCUACUGGCGCGCGCGAGGAUCGUUUGAUGCGUCGACUGAAGUACGAUUGGGAGUCGCCCCCGCCUUCGGGUGGGAAGCGUACCAGUCGCUACAGUUCGAAUGUGUCGAUCGAGAUUUGAUCUGGCCGCAUGUUUCCUGCCAGGUGUCAUGGAUGGCUGCCGUUGGUUUUCUAUUGUAACUUGUUGCUGUAGAACUCUAGCGGUAUGCUGCCUAUUGAUGCUUGGACGUGGAAUGCCGGAAAGGAUCGCUCGCGUCUGUGUCUCACACCCACCUAUAUCGUCUUGAAACACGAGCCGAGAAGUCUAACAGAUACGCAAGUCAAUGAGUUUCAUGCAAAACUCAUAGGCGAAAUGAAAGUAAAGUCGUGGCCUUGUGCUCGGCGAGCUGAGAUCCGUACCUUCGGGUGCGGCGCAUCAGCGUCCCGUCUCGUGAACUCUUCGGAGAUUCUGAGGCGGAGAUAGAGCGUAUCUGUUGGGACCCGAAAGAUGGUGAACUAUGCCUGUGUAGGCUGAAGCCAGAAGAAAUUCUGGUGGAAGGCCGUAGCGUUUUUGACGUGCAAAUCAAUCGUCUAACAUGGGUAUA
rnacentral:rRNA from 1 species